UACCAGCACCCCGAGUGGUCGGGACGAUUAUUGGGCCUAAAGCAUCCGUAGCCGGUUCUACAAGUCUUCCGUUAAAUCCACCUGCUCAACAGUUGGGCUGCGGAGGAUACUAUAGAGCUAGGAGGCGGGAGAGGCAAGCGGUACUCAGUGGGUAGGGGUAAAAUCCGUUGAUCCACUGAAGACCACCAGUGGCGAAGGCGGCUUGCCAGAACGCACUCGACGGUGAGGGAUGAAAGCUGGGGGAGCAAACCGG
rnacentral:rRNA from 1 species